AUUGAACGCUGGCGGCAUGCUUUACACAUGCAAGUCGAACGGCAGCUCGAAAGAGCUUGCUCUUUUGGUGGCGAGUGGCGAACGGGUGAGUAAUGCAUCGGAACGUACCGAGUAAUGGGGGAUAACUGUCCGAAAGGAUAGCUAAUACCGCAUACGCUUUGAGAAGGAAAGUGGGGGCUCUUCGGACCUCACGUUAUUCGAGCGGCCGAUGUCUGAUUAGCUAGUUGGUGGGGUAAAGGCCUACCAAGGCGACGAUCAGUAGCGGGUCUGAGAGGAUGAUCCGCCACACUGGGACUGAGACACGGCCCAGACUCCUACGGGAGGCAGCAGUGGGGAAUUUUGGACAAUGGGCGCAAGCCUGAUCCAGCCAUGCCGCGUGUCUGAAGAAGGCCUUCGGGUUGUAAAGGACUUUUGUUAGGGAAGAAAAGGAUAGUGUUAAUACCAUUAUCUGCUGACGGUACCUAAAGAAUAAGCACCGGCUAACUACGUG
rnacentral:rRNA from 1 species